CCUGACAAAGUCUUUAGAGGAGGUGCUACGGAGUUAUGACGUCCAAUGAGAAGCUGAGCGAUAACCUUGGAGCGUAAAUUUGCUGCCAAACGAAUCCUCGGAUCAACUGUGAGCAACUUUCUCCCUCAGGGGGCAACCUGCUAACAUAAAUUGUGCAUCUAUCUUGACAUGUUCUUCAAAACACAAAUGAGAUUUCAUUAAUUGAAUCCACAGAUGAUGCUAUCUCUAUUGCACUCAACACUGCCCUUUCCAACUUGGAAAAAAGGAACACCUACGUGAGAAUGCUACAUUGACUACAGCUCAGCGUUCAACACCAUAGAGCCCUCAAAGCUCAUCACUGAGCUAAGGACCCUGGGACUGAACACCUCCCUCUGCAACUGGAUCCUGGACUUCCUGAUGGUCUGCCCCCAGGUGGUAAGGGCACGACUUCAACACCAUCAUUAAGUUUGCUGACGACACAACAGUGGUAGGCCUGAUCCCAGACAACAAGGAGACAACCUAUAGGGAGGAGGUCAGAGACCUGGCCAUGUGGUACCAGGAUAACAACCUCUCCCUCAACAUGAUCAAGACAAAGAAGAUGAUUGUGGACUACAGGAAAAGGAGGACAGAGUACGCCCCCAUUCUCAUCGACGGGGCCUGAUAAAGAGAGCUAUGAAACCUACAUAUGAAGAGGUCCCAAUGAAUAGCAGUGGUUCUCAGUCCUGGGGACUCAAAGCGGUGCACAUUUUUAUUUUUGCCUCAGCACUGCACAGCUGACUCAAAUUAUCAACUCAUCAUCAAGCUUCAAGUGGUAUUUAUGUAUUCAUUUGUGAUGCUUUCCUUGAUAUGAUCCUGUUAUUGUCACGUGCUACACAUGCACACGUGUGCCCAUGCAUCUAACAAAUCAUGAUAACAAUGGAUUGAUAUCAGGGAUAUUAUACUUUGGUAAUCCACAAUGACCUGAUGAUGUAAAAGUCUAAUAAUUACAUUGUCUUCCAUAUUCCUACAGAUACCUUGUAACUGGAGAUUCCUUCAAAAUGAUUGCCUACAGUUAACGUGCAGGGCACUGCAAGGUUGGGUGUCCAGGGCCAUCUGUGACUUCCUGCUGGAGGAAUACAGGUGUGUGAAGGCUACCUGUGUCCUGCAUAACUUCAUGAGGAUGGACAGGAGGGGAUCUGCAGGAGGGGUUCUGCAGCUCGAGUCUGCUGCUCUGCAGGAUGUUUCAAGGAUGGAGUUUCCAACAACUCAGCAAGAGGAAAUCCGUGUGAGGGAGAUCUUCACCUCAUACUUCUUCGAAGAGGGUGCUGUUCCCUGGCAACACCAUAGACUACACUAUGCACAACCAAAGACUCUUUUAAGAGUCAUUGACAUUGCAUUAAGAUUAUUAUUCUAUUUACUUAGCUAUGUUUACAUUUACAUUAAAUUUAAGUCAUUUAGCAGACGCUCUUAUCCAGAGCGACUUACAAAUUGGUGCGUUCACCUUAAGACAUCCAGUGGAACAGCCACUUUACAAUAGUGCAUCUAAAUCUUUUAAGGGGGGGGGGGGUGAGAAGGAUUACUUUAUCCUAUCCUAGGUAUUCCUGAAAGAGGUGGGGUUUCAGGUGUCUCCGGAAGGUGGUGAUUGACUCCGCUGUCCUGGCGUCGUGAGGGAGUUUGUUCCACCAUUGGGGGGCCAGAGCAGCGAACAGUUUUGACUGUUUUGUUUUGAAUGUUAACUGCAGUUAUUCAAUUCCCAGUUUCUCUCUCUUUGAGUCCUACUUCUCAGGUGAGGGUACUGUUUAGGUAAGGGUGUGACGUCUGUACAAAAACAAAACGGGCUAUUUUAAAUAAUCCAUAUUGAAAAAAUGGAGAACAAUUAGACACCCUAUAACCCACACCUGCACACUCAUGUAUCAAUCUGAUUGAUGAACUGACUGUGUUGUGCAGUAAGCAGACUUGACUGUAUAACUGUGGCUCUGUACACCUUCAAAGAAUAGGCAAGAGGGCAACCAUGGAGAAUAAUAAGACACUUUAUUAUUUCUAUAACUACGCUAUAAUGUUUGUCCUCGUGUGUCCGUUCAUGUUUUUCUGCAAAGAGUACUCUGCAGCCACUUAGUGUGGUGUGUUCACACUGAUUCCUGUUGAACAUUUUCUCAAUAACGGUCUCUCUCCUUCACUUCAUCCCUCUUCUCCCUAAAUCCUUUAGUUUAUAUCAGCUGUGUCGGGGAACCCCUCCCGCAUCUGAGCUGGCUACAUAGAGGGCACUUGGUCAGGUCAACAGGAAGUAUUAUUAAAGAGAUGCUUCACAUUGGGAUUACUGCAUCUAUCUGUAUUUCAGAGUUAAUGAUCGAAGGUCAGUUUUGCAUUUCACCUCCUGAUGCUUAUGAUUACACCUCUCGCCACAUCUUUCUUCCUCUGUUUUUAUAGUGCACAACAGAUGUGCUUUGAAGUACAGAUUGAACUUGUAUUUAUAGUAUUAUAUUUAUGCAUGUAUUUAUAACACUUGAUAAUGAACUUCUUUCAAUAAAGCGUUUCAUAUUCUCUA